UGGGUUCCUAUAAAUUUCCUACAGUGGAGUU
rnacentral:piRNA from 1 species